UACAGAGGUCUCAAGCGUUGUUCGGAUUCAUUGGGCGUAAAGGGUGCGUAGGUGGCGCCGUAAGUCAGGUGUGAAAUUUCGGAGCUUAACUCCGAAACUGCAUUUGAUACUGCGGUGCUUGAGGACUGGAGAGGAGACUGGAAUUUACGGUGUAGCAGUGAAAUGCGUAGAGAUCGUAAGGAAGACCGGUGGCGAAGGCGGCGACCUGGGUGGAUACUGACGCUGAGGUGCGAAAGCGUGGGGAGCAAACAGG
rnacentral:rRNA from 1 species